CCUACGGGAGGCAGCAGUGGGGAAUCUUGUGCAAUGGACGAAAGUCUGACACAGCCACGCCGCGUGCGGGAAGAAGGCCUUCGGGUUGUAAACCGCUUUCAGCAGGAACGAAAAUGACGGUACCUGCAGAAGAAGAUGCGGCCAACUACGUGCCAGCAGCCGCGGUGAUACGUAGGCAUCAAGCGUUGUCCGGAUUUAUUGGGCGUAAAGAGCUCGUAGGCGGUUCAGCAAGUCGGGUGUGAAAACUCUGGGCUUAACCCAGAGCCUGCACUCGAAACUGCUGUGACUAGAGUUCGGUAGGGGAGCAGGGAAUUCCUAGUGUAGCGGUGAAAUGCGCAGAUAUUAGGAGGAACACCAAUGGCGAAGGCACUGCUCUGGGCCGAUACUGACGCUGAGGAGCGAGAGCGUGGGUAGCAAACAGGAUUAGAUACCCUGGUAGUCCACGCCGUAAACGAUGGGCACUAGGUGUGGGUCUCUAACCAACGAGAUCUGCGCCGUCGCUAACGCAUUAAGUGCCCGCCUGGGGAGUACGGUCGCGAAGCUUAAAACUUAAAUUGAAAUUGACGG
rnacentral:rRNA from 1 species